UUUGGAGUGGCAUCAGAAGAAGAACUGCAUCUGACUCGUAAACUGUUCUGGGGAAUCUUCGAGUCUCUAGCACACAAGAAAUUUGACGCUGAGAUUUUCAAAAUUGCCAUGCCAUGCCUCUGCGCCAUAGCUGGAGCAAUUCCUCCUGACUAUGUUGAUGCCAGUUACUCUUCCAAAACGGAGAAAAAAGCUUCGGUGGAUUCAGAAGGAAACUUUGAUCCUAAACCAGUUGAAACCACAAAUACGAUUAUCCCUGAGAGACUGGAUCCAUUUAUCAACAAAUAUGCAGAAUUUACGCAUGACAAAUGGGCCUUUGAAAAGGUAAUUUAG